GACGAACGCUGGCGGCGUGCCUAAUACAUGCAGUCGAGCGGACCGACGGGAGCUUGCUCCCUUAGGUCAGCGGCGGACGGGUGAGUAACACGUGGGUAACCUGCCUGUAAGACUGGGAUAACUCCGGGAAACCGGGGCUAAUACCGGAUGCUUGAUUGAACCGCAUGGUUCAAUCAUAAAAGGUGGCUUUUAGCUACCACUUGCAGAUGGACCCGCGGCGCAUUAGCUAGUUGGUGAGGUAACGGCUCACCAAGGCGACGAUGCGUAGCCGACCUGAGAGGGUGAUCGGCCACACUGGGACUGAGACACGGCCCAGACUCCUACGGGAGGCAGCAGUAGGGAAUCUUCCGCAAUGGACGAAAGUCUGACGGAGCAACGCCGCGUGAGUGAUGAAGGUUUUCGGAUCGUAAAACUCUGUUGUUAGGGAGGAACAAGUACCGUUCGAAUAGGGCGGUACCUUGACGGUACCUAACCAGAAAGCCACGGCUAACUACGUGCCAGCAGCCGCGGUAAUACGUAGGUGGCAAGCGUUGUCCGGAAUUAUUGGGCGUAAAGCGCGCGCAGGCGGUUUCUUAAGUCUGAUGUGAAAGCCCCCGGCUCAACCGGGGAGGGUCAUUGGAAACUGGGGAACUUGAGUGCAGAAGAGGAGAGUGGAAUUCCACGUGUAGCGGUGAAAUGCGUAGAGAUGUGGAGGAACACCAGUGGCGAAGGCGACUCUCUGGUCUGUAACUGACGCUGAGGCGCGA
rnacentral:rRNA from 1 species